rnacentral:tRNA from 1 species
UAGAUUGAAGCCCGCUGGAUAGGGUGUUUAGUUGUUAACUAGAUUUCUUGCGGGAUCGAGGCCCGUCGGUCUAGG